rnacentral:rRNA from 1 species
UGGAUAACUUCGGGAAACCGGAGCUAAUACCGGAUAAUAUUUCGAACCGCAUGGUUCGAUAGUGAAAGGUGGUUUUGCUAUCACUUAUAGAUGGACCCGCGCCGUAUUAGCUAGUUGGUAAGGUAACGGCUUACCAAGGCGACGAUACGUAGCCGACCUGAGAGGGUGAUCGGCCACACUGGAACUGAGACACGGUCCAGACUCCUACGGGAGGCAGCAGGG